rnacentral:rRNA from 1 species
AUUCCAGCUCCAAUAGCGUAUAUUAAAGUUGUUGCAGUUAAAAAGCUCGUAGUUGAAGUUCUGGCUGUAUGGGCCUCUGCACUUGAUGCGAAGGCACCAGCAGCCAUCCGCUUACAAAUACAUGUCCUUCUUUAAUCGGUAGGCUGUAUGAGUAAGCACUUUACCUUGAGAAAAACAAAGUGUUCCAGGCAGGUUUGUCCGGAAUGCAUUAGCAUGGAAUAAUAGAAUACGACUGAAGUCGAUUUAUUGGUUUGAGGCUUUAGUAAUGAUUAAUAGGAACAAUCGGGGGCAUUAGUACUCGCCAGUCAGAGGUGAAAUUCUAAGAUUUGGCGGAGACUAACUGAUGCGAAAGCGUUUGCCAAGGAUGUUUUCAUCG